rnacentral:rRNA from 1 species
GAUGAACGCUAGCGGAGGCUUAACACAUGCAAGUCGAGGGGCAGCAUAGGGUAGCAAUACUCUGAUGGCGACCGGCAAACGGGUGAGUAACGCGUAUGACAACCUACCCUGUACAGGGGAUAAACCCGGAGAAAUUCGGACUAAUAUCCCGUAAUAAUAUCCGGAGGUAUCUUUUGGAUUAUUUAAAGUUCCGACGGUACGGGAUGGGCAUGCGUAACAUUAACUGGUUGGUAAGGUAACGGCUUACCAAGGCUAUGAUGUUUAGGGGUCCUGAGAGGGUGGUCCCCCACACUGGUACUGAGACACGGACCAGACUCCUACGGGAGGCAGCAGUGAGGAAUAUUGGUCAAUGGGCGCAAGCCUGAACCAGCCAUCCCGCGUGCAGGAAGACGGCCCUAUGGGUUGUAAACUGCUUUUCCAGGGAGAGAAACUUACGCACGUGUUGCGUGACUGACGGUACCCUGGGAAUAAGCAUCGGCUAACUCCGUG